CUUGUCAGAAGUUUGCAAAAGGUGAUCACAUGACCCCCGGGAUGCUGCAAACAAUCAGAAAUAUGAGUCAGCUGCAAGCACCUGCCUUUUUGACCACAGGAUGGUGGGGAUGCUGCAAUGAUCAUCAUUAGCGGGAUAAACAAGCCAUCUUUUUCAGGACUGAUGCAACUUUAAAGGGUCACUAAAUGAACUGUUUUAAGUUGAGGAUUACCUCUAUCUCCUCCACCAGAGAAGGGCUUAAUGAGGAUCUCAGUGCUUAAAUGAUAGUGAACAUGCAGCUGGACUGUCCUCAUUGUAAGGUCACUCAAUAGUUGGAUGCAAAAGAAAGCCAUCUAAAGAGUAUGAAUUGACUACUCAACUAAUCAAAUUCCUGAAGCUGUAUUUGUAGCUUUACAUGGCGCUUAGGAAAGCAAAGAUAAAUAAUACAGGGUCUACCAAAAGUCAAGCCCCCAUAUGGAUAAUGCCUUACAUACAUUAACUUAAAUGCUUGAAUGGGUUAUUUCUUCUAAACACUUCCCUAUUCAUGUGACACAUAAUCUUUCAGCAUUUCUAAUUCCGGUAACAUUUUUUUCUAGAAAAAUAAUUAACACAAGCAGUUCUCAACUCGCGGCCACAAUUGGGACCAGAUUUCAGUUACUUAAGCGAGGUCAUUAUUAACCAUAGAGCAGCGAUGGAUGUUCACUGACUUCCCAAGAAGGGGCAGAGGGAAUUCAAAAGAGUAGGAUUGGGUAUUUUAUGUAGUUAUUAUUGAAGCACUCAGUUAAUAGCAAAAACUCAAGGAAAAUCAAACCAAACCCAAAUAUAUACGGUGAUGCUUAAAUGUUUCUGAAUCCCUUUGAAUGUCCAAUAUUUGUCAAGAAUGUGAUUUAUUUUCUUCACAAGUCUUAAAACUAGGUAUGGAGAAUUUCUUUUAAAAAAUGAAUAAAAAACUUUAUUAUUCUUUCAUUUAUUGAAGAAAAUUAUUUCAAACUACAUAUUUUUACUGGAAAAAGUAUGUGACUCUCCAGGUUUAUCAGUGCAUUUAAAGGGAAAUUUAGAAUCAGGGGUUUCAAUCAAUCAAUCAGGUAUGAAUACGAGAGGUCCUGCUUUAUUUUAAAAAAAAAACAGAAUUUGGGAUAUUCACAAUCAAAGGCUCAUCUUCAUACCUUAGGUAUGUGGAAAUGUGUUAUGACUCAAAAACAGCAUAUUUCUGGGGACCUCCAAUUCUUCCCUCCCCCCACCAAAAAAAAAAUAAGCUGAUUAUGCUCAGCAGGCUGGAAAAAGUUACAAACUUAUUCCAAAGAGUUUGCAUUUCAUCAAUCAAUUCUCAACUCUACUGCUACCCUCCCUGAGGGUGUGGUUGACCAAUCAAGGCCAUACAAGUGUGAGGCAUGUAUACUCUAAGGACAAAAACCCAAAGCAGACAAGUCAUAUGACCAAAGAAUGAUAAUAGCUGAAGAAGCUAAUGUUUGGAAUGGGCAAAUCAAAGUCCUGGUCUUAAUCCUUUAGAAAUGGUGAAAGAAGACAUAAAGCAAGCAGUUCAUAUGAGAAAUUAAUAACAAUGAUUUUGAAGGCUCACAUACUUUUGCCACGAACAAAAUAUGUAGCUUUCAUUUCCCUCAUACAUGAACAAGUAUGUCUUUGAUUCACAUUUAAUGAGGUUCACUUUAUCCAGUUUUAGAGUUUGUGUGGAGAACAUAUCAUUUUAUGUCAUAUUUUUGCAGAAACCUUGAAAAUCCAAAGGGUUCACAAAUUUUAAGCAUCACACAAGUUAGUUAUUACAAAUUUUCUCCAUUGCUUUUUACAUGACUCUGGAGUAGCCAGAAGAAUUAUAGCGGCUCCAGCAAAGCCAUCAUACAACUAUUAGGCAUAUUCUCAUUUAGAAGAAUGAGCUGGAGGUCAUCCCAUGAGGAAGGGUUGGCUAUCCACAUUGUGAGUAAGUGAUAAGUGGUUUUAGCCCUGAGUGAUCCGACUGGCUUUGCUUCAAAGAAGCAAUGGUGUGUUCUUAAUCAGUUCAGGCCAGUGUUAUGGAAGAAGGCUUCUCUCAAGCUGUUCUCCUACUGUUGGACAAAGCCCUCCCUAUCUUGGAGGAUUCAGGAUUGCUUAUCAUGCCAGAAGUCUCUGAGGCUGGACAACUGUGCCAUAGAGAGCCUGCAAUUUGUUUCAUGCGCUUGUCUUCCUCCCAACUGUUGGUACAAAAAAGAUUAAGAAACCCAAUACUGUGGGCUGAAGAAUACCAGCCUAAAGCUCCUAGCAAUCAUCAUCAUCAUCAACAUGAUCAUCAUCUCCUCCUCCUGCGUCAACCAUUUUUAAUUGAUACUGUAGCAAUUUUCCAGGCUUCAUGACUGAGUAGAUUGGCUAGAGAGGCUUUUUAAUAGACAAUCCACCAGGUGAAAUAAUAAUAACAAUAAUGUUGUUUAAAAAGAAAUAAUGAAAUGUAGAUGGUUUUUUUUAAAAAAAAAAAGUCUUGUGAUAGAAUUGAAAUGCAAUUAACAGAAACACCUAGACAAGAACUAACAUAACUGGAGGAGAUGACAAGAAAAUUGUUUUGUAUAAAAACUAUUUUUAACAAUAAAUUGAACCUUGACUACA